rnacentral:rRNA from 1 species
GACGAACGCUGGCGGCGUGCUUAACACAUGCAAGUCGAACGAAGUGGCGAACGGGUGAGUAACGCGUAAUCAACCUGCCCUUCAGAGGGGGACAACAGUUGGAAACGACUGCUAAUACCGCAUACUGAAGGAGGGGCUUGCGUCUGAUUGGCUAGUUGGGGGGGGAACGGCCCACCAAGGCUAUGAUCAGUAGACGGUUCGUGGGGGUGAACGGCAACAUGGGGAUUGAGGAACGGCCCAGACUCCUACGGGGGGCAGCAGUGGGUAAUCUUCCGCAAUGGACGAAAGUCUGACGGGGCAACGCCGCGUGAGUGAUGACGGCCUUCGGGUUGUAAAGCUCUGUUAAUCGGGACGCGGUACCGGAAUAGAAAGCCACGGCUAACUACGUGCCAGCAGCCGCGGUAAUAC